rnacentral:rRNA from 1 species
CCUACGGGUGGCAGCAGUGAGGAAUAUUGGUCAAUGGACGAGAGUCUGAACCAGCCAAGUAGCGUGAAGGAUGACUGCCCUAUGGGUUGUAAACUUCUUUUAUAUGGGAAUAAAACGUUCCACGUGUGGGAUUUUGUAUGUACCAUAUGAAUAAGGAUCGGCUAACUCCGUGCCAGCAGCCGCGGUAAUACGGAGGAACCGAGCGUUAUCCGGAUUUAUUGGGUUUAAAGGGAGCGUAGGUGGAUUGUUAAGUCAGUUGUGAAAGUUUGCGGCUCAACCGUAAAAUUGCAGUUGAAACUGGCAGUCUUGAGUACAGUAGAGGUGGGCGGAAUGCGUGGUGUAGCGGUGAAAUGCUUAGAUAUCACGAAGAACUCCGAUUGCGAAGGCAGUUCACUGGACUGCAACUGACACUGAGGCUCGAAAGUGUGGGUAUCAAACAGGAUUAGAUACCCUUGUAGUC